UUAAUUGAAGCCAAAAAGCGGCAUAUCACUGUUAAUGAUAAAACUGGAAAAACUUCCCAAUUAAA
rnacentral:tRNA from 1 species